rnacentral:rRNA from 1 species
CAUAUUGAACGCUGGCGGCAGGCCUAACACAUGCAAGCCGAACGGUAACAGAAAGCAGCUUGCUGCUUUGCUGACGAGUGGCGGACGGGUGAGUAAUGUCUGGGAAACUGCCCGAUGGAGGGGGAUAACUACUGGAAACGGUAGCUAAUACCGCAUAACGUCGCAAGACCAAAGAGGGGGACCUUCGGGCCUCUUGCCAUCGGAUGUGCCCAGAUGGGAUUAGCUAGUAGGUGGGGUAAAGGCUCACCUAGGCGACGAUCCCUAGCUGGUCUGAGAGGAUGACCAGCCACACUGGAACUGAGACACGGUCCAGACUCCUACGGGAGGCAGCAGUGGGGAAUAUUGCACAAUGGGCGCAAGCCUGAUGCAGCCAUGCCGCGUGUAUGAAGAAGGCCUUCGGGUUGUAAAGUACUUUCAGCAGGGAGGAAGGGAGUAAAGUUAAUACCUUUGCUCAUUGACGUUACCCGCAGAAGAAGCACCGGCUAACUCCGUGCCAGCAGCCGCGGUAAUACGGAGGGUGCAAGCGUUAAUCGGAAUUACUGGGCGUAAAGCGCACGCAGGCGGUUUGUUAAGUCAGAUGUGAAAUCCCCGGGCUCAACCUGGGAACUGCAUCUGAUACUGGCAAGCUUGAGUCUCGUAGAGGGGGGUAGAAUUCCAGGUGUAGCGGUGAAAUGCGUAGAGAUCUGGAGGAAUACCGGUGGCGAAGGCGGCCCCUGGACGAAGACUGACGCUCAGGUGCGAAAGCGUGGGGAGCAAACAGGAUUAGAUACCCUGGUAGUCCACGCCGUAAACGAUGUCGACUUGGAGGUUGUGCCCUUGAGGCGUGGCUUCCGGAGCUAACGCGUUAAGUCGACCGCCUGGGGAGUACGGCCGCAAGGUUAAAACUCAAAUGAAUUGACGGGGGCCCGCACAAGCGGUGGAGCAUGUGGUUUAAUUCGAUGCAACGCGAAGAACCUUACCUGGUCUUGACAUCCACGGAAGUUUUCAGAGAUGAGAAUGUGCCUUCGGGAACCGUGAGACAGGUGCUGCAUGGCUGUCGUCAGCUCGUGUUGUGAAAUGUUGGGUUAAGUCCCGCAACGAGCGCAACCCUUAUCCUUUGUUGCCAGCGGUCCGGCCGGGAACUCAAAGGAGACUGCCAGUGAUAAACUGGAGGAAGGUGGGGAUGACGUCAAGUCAUCGUGGCCCUUACGACCAGGGCUACACACGUGCUACAAUGGCGCAUACAAAGAGAAGCGACCUCGCGAGAGCAAGCGGACCUCAUAAAGUGCGUCGUAGUCCGGAUUGGAGUCUGCAACUCGACUCCAUGAAGUCGGAAUCGCCAGUAAUCGUGGAUCAGAAUGCCACGGUGAAUACGUUCCCGGGCCUUGUACGCACCGCCCGUCACACCAUGGGAGUGGGUUGCAAAAGAAGUAGAUAGCUUAACCUUCGGGAGGGCGCUUACCA